GCAUGAGUUAUGUCAUGUUAUCGAUAUGUGAAUACAUAGCAUAUCAGAAGGCACACCCGGAGAACUGAAACAUCUUAGUACCCGGAGGAAGAGAAAGAAAAUUCGAUUCCCUUAGUAGCGGCGAGCGAAACGGGAAGAGCCCAAACCAACAAGCUUGCUUGUUGGGGUUGUAGGACACUCUAUACGGAGUUACAAAGGACGACAUUAGACGAAUCAUCUGGAAAGAUGAAUCAAAGAAGGUAAUAAUCCUGUAGUCGAAAAUGUUGUCUCUCUUGAGUGGAUCCUGAGUACGACGGAGCACGUGAAAUUCCGUCGGAAUCUGGGAGGACCAUCUCCUAAGGCUAAAUACUCUCUAGUGACCGAUAGUGAACCAGUACCGUGAGGGAAAGGUGAAAAGCACCCCGGAAGGGGAGUGAAAUAGAACCUGAAACCGUGUGCUUACAAGUAGUCAGAGCCCGUUAAUGGGUGAUGGCGUGCCUUUUGUAGAAUGAACCGGCGAGUUACGAUUUGAUGCAAGGUUAAGCAGUAAAUGUGGAGCCGUAGCGAAAGCGAGUCUGAAUAGGGCGUUUAGUAUUUGGUCGUAGACCCGAAACCAGGUGAUCUACCCUUGGUCAGGUUGAAGUUCAGGUAACACUGAAUGGAGGACCGAACCGACUUACGUUGAAAAGUGAGCGGAUGAACUGAGGGUAGCGGAGAAAUUCCAAUCGAACCUGGAGAUAGCUGGUUCUCUCCGAAAUAGCUUUAGGGCUAGCCUCAAGUGAUGAUUAUUGGAGGUAGAGCACUGUUUGGACGAGGGGCCCCUCUCGGGUUACCGAAUUCAGACAAACUCCGAAUGCCAAUUAAUUUAACUUGGGAGUCAGAACAUGGGUGAUAAGGUCCGUGUUCGAAAGGGAAACAGCCCAGACCACCAGCUAAGGUCCCAAAAUAUAUGUUAAGUGGAAAAGGAUGUGGCGUUGCCCAGACAACUAGGAUGUUGGCUUAGAAGCAGCCAUCAUUUAAAGAGUGCGUAAUAGCUCACUAGUCGAGUGACACUGCGCCGAAAAUGUACCGGGGCUAAACAUAUUACCGAAGCUGUGGAUUGUCCUUUGGACAAUGGUAGGAGAGCGUUCUAAGGGCGUUGAAGCAUGAUCGUAAGGACAUGUGGAGCGCUUAGAAGUGAGAAUGCCGGUGUGAGUAGCGAAAGACGGGUGAGAAUCCCGUCCACCGAUUGACUAAGGUUUCCAGAGGAAGGCUCGUCCGCUCUGGGUUAGUCGGGUCCUAAGCUGAGGCCGACAGGCGUAGGCGAUGGAUAACAGGUUGAUAUUCCUGUACCACCUAUAAUCGUUUUAAUCGAUGGGGGGACGCAGUAGGAUAGGCGAAGCGUGCGAUUGGAUUGCACGUCUAAGCAGUAAGGCUGAGUAUUAGGCAAAUCCGGUACUCGUUAAGGCUGAGCUGUGAUGGGGAGAAGACAUUGUGUCUUCGAGUCGUUGAUUUCACACUGCCGAGAAAAGCCUCUAGAUAGAAAAUAGGUGCCCGUACCGCAAACCGACACAGGUAGUCAAGAUGAGAAUUCUAAGGUGAGCGAGCGAACUCUCGUUAAGGAACUCGGCAAAAUGACCCCGUAACUUCGGGAGAAGGGGUGCUCUUUAGGGUUAACGCCCAGAAGAGCCGCAGUGAAUAGGCCCAAGCGACUGUUUAUCAAAAACACAGGUCUCUGCUAAACCGUAAGGUGAUGUAUAGGGGCUGACGCCUGCCCGGUGCUGGAAGGUUAAGAGGAGUGGUUAGCUUCUGCGAAGCUACGAAUCGAAGCCCCAGUAAACGGCGGCCGUAACUAUAACGGUCCUAAGGUAGCGAAAUUCCUUGUCGGGUAAGUUCCGACCCGCACGAAAGGCGUAACGAUUUGGGCACUGUCUCAACGAGAGACUCGGUGAAAUCAUAGUACCUGUGAAGAUGCAGGUUACCCGCGACAGGACGGAAAGACCCCGUGGAGCUUUACUGUAGCCUGAUAUUGAAAUUCGGCACAGCUUGUACAGGAUAGGUAGGAGCCUUUGAAACGUGAGCGCUAGCUUACGUGGAGGCGCUGGUGGGAUACUACCCUAGCUGUGUUGGCUUUCUAACCCGCACCACUUAUCGUGGUGGGAGACAGUGUCAGGCGGGCAGUUUGACUGGGGCGGUCGCCUCCUAAAAGGUAACGGAGGCGCUCAAAGGUUCCCUCAGAAUGGUUGGAAAUCAUUCAUAGAGUGUAAAGGCAUAAGGGAGCUUGACUGCGAGACCUACAAGUCGAGCAGGGUCGAAAGACGGACUUAGUGAUCCGGUGGUUCCGCAUGGAAGGGCCAUCGCUCAACGGAUAAAAGCUACCCCGGGGAUAACAGGCUUAUCUCCCCCAAGAGUUCACAUCGACGGGGAGGUUUGGCACCUCGAUGUCGGCUCAUCGCAUCCUGGGGCUGUAGUCGGUCCCAAGGGUUGGGCUGUUCGCCCAUUAAAGCGGUACGCGAGCUGGGUUCAGAACGUCGUGAGACAGUUCGGUCCCUAUCCGUCGUGGGCGUAGGAAAUUUGAGAGGAGCUGUCCUUAGUACGAGAGGACCGGGAUGGACAUACCUCUGGUGUACCAGUUGUCGUGCCAACGGCAUAGCUGGGUAGCUAUGUGUGGACGGGAUAAGUGCUGAAAGCAUCUAAGCAUGAAGCCCCCCUCAAGAUGAGAUUUCCCAACUUCGGUUAUAAGAUCCCUCAAAGAUGAUGAGGUUAAUAGGUUCGAGGUGGAAGCAUGGUGACAUGUGGAGCUGACGAAUACUAAUCGAUCGAAGACUUAAUCAA
rnacentral:rRNA from 4 species